AUAACCCUACAUGUUUUGGAGAUUUGCCCCAAUUUCAUUUUUUUCUGAUGUGAAAUUGAUGAAUUUAACAGAAAUUGUGUAUACCAGCUUGGGAGUGUGCAAUCACUUUUGCCUCUUCACAAUACAGUAGCAACUUGUAGAAUGGUGUCAAAUCUUAGCGUUGAUUCAAGGAAUUGUCAUGAUGUUUCACAGGUUACUCUUUCUUGCAACCAUCCUGGACCCUAGCCUUUCUUACUACUAUCAACUGUGAGAUUUUUGUUGAUGGGGUUUUGAGAAGUCAUAAAAUCAAUCCAAUAACAUGUACACAGUACAUGUGAUUGGAAGAGAGAAAACAAUUAUGUUGAUUUAGAGAUGAGUUUGGAAACCUUGUGUAUUAUUAUGAGUUUAGCCUCAAAUCAGAUACUGAAAUAGAGUUCAAUUAUUUCAUAUCAUUGGACACCGUAUAUUUUAA